UACGUAGGGUGCAAGCGUUGUCCGGAAUUAUUGGGCGUAAAGAGCUCGUAGGCGGUCUGUCGCGUCUGCUGUGAAAACUCAGGGCUUAACCCUGAGCUUGCAGUGGGUACGGGCAGACUAGAGUGCGGUAGGGGAGACUGGAAUUCCGUGGUGAUAGCGGUGAAAUGCGCAGAUAUCAGGAGGAACACCGGUGGCGAAGGCGGGUCUCUGGGCCGUAACUGACGCUGAGGAGCGAAAGCAUGGGGAGCGAACAGG
rnacentral:rRNA from 1 species